UGAACGCUAGCGACAGGCCUAACACAUGCAAGUCGAGGGGCAGCACAAGGAGCAAUCUGAGGUGGCGACCGGCGCACGGGUGAGUAACACGUAUGCAACCUGCCUGUAAGCGGGGAAUAACCCGUUGAAAGACGGACUAAUACCGCAUAAUACUAAAUUACUGCAUGGUAAUUUAUUUAAACAUUUAUGGCUUACAGAUGGGCAUGCGCAUGAUUAGCUAGUUGGAGAGGUAACGGCUCCCCAAGGCAACGAUCAUUAGGGGUUCUGAGAGGAAGGUCCCCCACACUGGUACUGAGACACGGACCAGACUCCUACGGGAGGCAGCAGUGAGGAAUAUUGGUCAAUGGACGAGAGUCUGAACCAGCCAAGUCGCGUGCAGGAAGAAUGUCCUUAAUGGAUUGUAAACUGCUUUUGCAGGGGAAUAAAGUGCAUCACGUGUGAUGUUUUGUAUGUACUCUGCGAAUAAGGAUCGGCUAACUCCGUGCCAGCCGCAGC
rnacentral:rRNA from 1 species